rnacentral:tRNA from 1 species
GCUGGCAUGGCUCAGUCGGUAGAGCGCACCCCUCGUAAGGGUGAGGUCACGAGUUCGAUCCUCGUUGCCAGCU